GUGAAAUUGUUGAAAGGGAAGCGCUUGCAACCAGACCUGCCUGCAGUUGCUCAUCCGUGGCUUUUGCCCGGUGCACUCUUCUGCUGUCAGGCCAGCAUCAGUUCGGGCGGUCGGAUAAAGGCUUCGGGAAUGUAGCUCCUCUCGGGGAGUGUUAUAGCCCGUUGCGAAAUGCGGCCAGCCUGGACUGAGGUCCGCGCUUCGGCUAGGAUGCUGGCGUAAUGGUUGUAAGCGGCCCGUCUUGAAACACGGACCAAGGAGUCUAACAUCUGUGCGAGUGUUUGGGUGUUAAACCCGUACGCGUAAUGAAAGUGAACGGAGGCGGGAACCCCUCGGGGUGCACCGUCGACCGAUCCUGAUGUCUUCGGAUGGAUUUGAGUAAGAGCAUAGCUGUUGGGACCCGAAAGAUGGUGAACUAUGCCUGAAUAGGGUGAAGCCAGAGGAAACUCUGGUGGAGGCUCGCAGCGGUUCUGACGUGCAAAUCGAUCGUCAAAUUUGGGCAUAGGGGCGAAAGACUAAUCGAACUAUCUAGUAGCUGGUUCCUGCCGAAGUUUCCCUCAGGAUAGCAGUAACGUUUUCAGUUUUAUGAGGUAAAGCGAAUGAUUAGAGGCCUGGGGGUUGAAACAACCUUCACCUAUUCUCAAACUUUAAAUAUGUAAGAAGUCCUUGUUGCUCAGUUGAACGUGGACAUUUGAAUGUAUCGUUACUAGUGGGCCAUUUUUGGUAAGCAGAACUGGCG
rnacentral:rRNA from 1 species